GGCAACAUCGGGGAAUUUUGAACAAUGAGCGAAAGUACAAUCCAACAAUAUUGCAUGAGUGAAGGGCAAUGUCGCUUGUAAAUCUAUUUCAUCGAAUGAGUGAUCAUGACAAGACUCAAGGAAGAAGCCUUGGCUAACUCCGUGCCAACAGCUGAAAUAAGACUGUGGGGACU
rnacentral:rRNA from 1 species